GGCUUGGGAAGGUGAGCAGCUAGCCUGAGGUCAGACAAUGAUCUGGUAGCCUUUCUGCCAACAUGCAUGGGUUGCAGCAUAUCCUCAUUAUAGUCUCUUCUGCAUUCCUCUCCAGGGAGGGAGGGGAGUUCAAGUUCCCAUGGUUCUUGUCACUCUGCCUUUAGAGACCCAGACUUGGGCCCAUGUGGUCCUCCAUGGCAGGAACAGCAAGGUGAGUGUGGAUGUGACAGCCCUGCUGACUUGGCUGCCAAAUGGCACACUGGAGGCGACAGUGAAUACCAGCCACACGGUGCAUGCUUUCCAGAGACUGGGCCUGCCCUUCAGCAGCCAGUUACUAUUCCGAGAACUCUGGACCACGGAAGACAUGAGUUCCUCCCUGCAAAUCACUUGCGACACCCAAGAUAUUCUGUCCCUCCAUGUCCACGGCCAGAACCAUGCCAACAGCAAAGAGCUGCUGCUGUGGGGUGGACACCACCUCUCCUCCCUCCUGGACUGCUGUCCCCGCUCAGUCUCUGCCACAGCCAAGCUCCAGUACUCCAAGGAUGAGACCCAAGGCACCUUUGUACUAGAGAUGGAAGAGCGCCGCUUCCAUGUCAGUACCAGCCUACUGGCUGCUAAGGACGACCUCGCCAGUGUCAUCCUGCUGCAACAGACUUUCCUGCAGCUCAGCACCUUUCCCACAGAGCUGGCCCUGAGGACCUUGUUCCAGAGAACACAAGGCACCCACAUCCUGUACCACGUGGUGCAGUGGGAUGGCAGGGAGGCGGCCCUCAAUGGGAGCCUCUCCAGCGCCCUCUCAGAGCUCUCGGGGAAUGUCCGUCUUCAGGUGGAGCUCUCCCACCAGCUGUCUCUGUCCCUGCCACACCACUGCAGCCUCCACCUGUCCUCAGAGCAUUCUAGAGACAAACACCAUGGUGACCUGGCUGUGGCCUGGGACAAUAAAGACCAGGUUCAGCAAUCAAGGGACAGAAGCUCACCUGUGACUCUGGAGGUCACCUGGGCUGAGAGGUCCUCUAUGAACAGUGUAGCCUGGGAUGGCUGCCUAGCUGCCUCCCUAGGUCAGCUCCAGGGAACCUGGGGCCUGGGCCCUCUGCAGGCUUGUGGGGCCCUGACUCAGACCCCAGUCAUGUUCAGUGAGCAGCUUGAUCUCUCCUGGGGCCGACACCGGCUGCAGCAGAAUGUGACAUAUGAGGUGAGGCACAGAGAGCCAGACUCAGGUCAGGUCAUCUACAGGGGGCCUUGCCAGCUAUGGGAGCGUAGUUACUACUGCAGUGUAGUUCUGGGUUCAAGUGCUGGCUAUGCUGGGGAUCUAGGCUACUCAGUCUUCUGGCUGAGCCUUGUUUCAUCUGAAAUGGGUACGAUAGUCGUGUCCUACCAGGAAGUAGAUCAACACUAGAUUAGUGGUAGACAGUGCUGGAAGUGCUGAAGGUCUGCUGGUCGUGGGGUGGUAGGCAGGGGAGGGCUCACCUUCCCAGAAAUGGCAGGGCUCGGUAUCUCCCAACCAACUAGGGCUUCCAGUGGGGCUAAGUGCAGCUCUUGAGUGUGUGAGACAAAAGCCAGACUGUACUGAAAUGGCAACAUCGGGCUGAGAGUGUACCUCUCAGCCCUUCUGUACUUCCCCAAGCUUCUGAGACAUGGGGCCCUGAGGCUGGGGUCACUGGCACCUGGUUUCUGUGUGGGUGACAGUCACCCCUGUGGGUACUGUGGACAGUCUCUCCUAUGUGAUAACCCCCAUGUCAUGAGCUAUUCCAGAAGCGUCAGCUGCCCCAGUGGGACAAGGUCCACGCAGAGGUCACACUAGAGCACAUCCUCUCGGCCCCUUGUGCCAAGCACAGCUUCCAAGGGACAGUGGAAACAGACUACAUGCACAAGUUACGUCACACCCUCCACCUGGGGCUUUGCAACUUGCCCAGGGUGAGUCUGCUGAGAAGGAUGGGGUACAGGGGAACCAGGGGACCU
rnacentral:lncRNA from 1 species